AGGUACCCCUCUUUCUGGAUCUCCCCUGCAGAAUUUUACCAUAAUCCGUGGUCUGUACUUGUUUGCCAAUGAGCAGACAACUUCAGACAGAGAAGCUACAGGACAGAUUGUGAUGAUAACGAGAUCCCCUAGAGCUCAAAGAGGAAGUGUUGGAAAGGACAGGAUUGGAGGCAAGAAGGUUAGUAAAGAGGCAAUGAAAGCUGUGUGACAAGGGCCAGCUCUGGGAGAAUGGCAGUGGGGAUGGAGAACAGGACAACAGGAAAGGAGCAAAAUGAGGAGGCAGAAUCUACAGAAUCUGGUUGUCGGGGUAGGAGAGAGGAAGAAGUCGAGGAUGAUUUCUGGGUUUCUGACUUAGAAAGACUAAAGCAGAGAACGUGAGGUGAGAUAGAGUAAGACCUGAGAGAGACCGCGCUACAGAACUAUAAGUUGUACUUUAUUAAGGAGUUAGGUUUUACAAAGGUGUUAAUAAAACAAGAAAUAAAUAUUCAUUAAACAUUUGCCGAGGCCCUAAAUUUCUAAGUUUAGAAGUUCCCCCACCCCACAAAUCACAUUAGAAUAGACAGCUUUAUAGAAACAUAAAGCUAAACAUUUAAAU
rnacentral:lncRNA from 1 species